rnacentral:rRNA from 1 species
UUGCAGUCUGCAACUCGAGUGCAUGAAGCUGGAAUCGCUAGUAAUCGCGGAUCAGAAUGCCGCGGUGAAUACGUUCCCGGGUCUUGUACACACCGCCCGUCACACCAUGGGAGUCGGGAAUGCCCGAAGCCGGUGGCCCAAUCGAAAGAAGGGAGCCGUCGAAGGCAGGCCGGAUGACUGGGGUGAAGUCGUAACAAGGUAGC